CAGCAGCCGCGGUAAUACAGAGGGUGCGAGCGUUAAUCGGAUUUACUGGGCGUAAAGCGUGCGUAGGCGGCUUUUUAAGUCGGAUGUGAAAUCCCUGAGCUUAACUUAGGAAUUGCAUUCGAUACUGGGAAGCUAGAGUAUGGGAGAGGAUGGUAGAAUUCCAGGUGUAGCGGUGAAAUGCGUAGAGAUCUGGAGGAAUACCGAUGGCGAAGGCAGCCAUCUGGCCUAAUACUGACGCUGAGGUACGAAAGCAUGGGGAGCAAACAGGAUUAGAUACCCCAGUAGUCCAUGUCUCUUAUAC
rnacentral:rRNA from 1 species